AUUGAACGCUGGCGGCAUGCCUUACACAUGCAAGUCGAACGGCAGCACGGGGGCAACCCUGGUGGCGAGUGGCGAACGGGUGAGUAAUACAUCGGAACGUGCCCUGUAGUGGGGGAUAGCUCGGCGAAAGCCGGAUUAAUACCGCAUACGACCUACGGGUGAAAGCGGGGGAUCGCAAGACCUCGCGCUACAGGAGCGGCCGAUGUCAGAUUAGGUUGUUGGUGGGGUAAAGCCUACCAAGCCGACGAUCUGUAGCUGGUCUGAGAGGACGACCAGCCACACUGGGACUGAGACACGGCCCAGACUCCUACGGGAGGCAGCAGUGGGGAAUUUUGGACAAUGGGCGCAAGCCUGAUCCAGCCAUGCCGCGUGCGGGAAGAA
rnacentral:rRNA from 1 species